CAAUCAGACUCCCUCUUAGGUCUGGUAGGGACAGGGCUGAUGUAACCACUAGGCAAACUAGACACCAAGAUUUGGGGGUGCCAAAAAGCAGUGUCUGGCAUUAUGGGAGUCAGCUGAGCGGGGGGGGGGGAGAGGCCUCCAUAACAAACCUGUCCCCGCAGCGAAGGGCACCGCGCAGGACAGUCAGUGGGAGCCUGCGGCGGAGCAAGGAGGAGACAGCCAGCUGGGUGCGGCGACCAGCACAGCUGAGGGACGGAGCCAUUGAGGGAGGCAGGAAGUGGUCCUGAGCUCAGUAGGCCCAGAGAGCGGCACGUGGCUUGAAGUACUGCAACAUCCCUUUAGACUUGAGACCUGGAGCUGCUCUUGACAAGCCAGUUGUCGAGGUACGGGUAGAUCUGGAUGCCCCGGUGCCUGAGGGCACUGCCGUCGAAGGGCAAGUCCUGCAAUGACUGCUGGGCCUUGGUGGGCAACCCAGAGAGGAGCAGCCAGGAGCCUCGCCGCAUAGACACAGCAGAAGCCAUGGUGUGGGCAGCAGCAGCAGCACCCCCCGAUGCCACCUGGAGGGCCACCCUGGCCGCAGUCGUGCCCUCAUUGAGGAUUGCUUGGAACUCCUUCUUGGAAGCCUCAGGGAGUGACCCUUCGAACUUGGCCAUAGCUUGCCACAUAUUAAAAUCAU